GUGAGGCUGCUGGGCUGGAGAGGGAGGGUGUCCCAGAAUAGCUCCUGGAGUCACUGACGCACUGUGGUUCUGCUUCCCUAGGCCCUGCUGGCCCUGA
rnacentral:pre_miRNA from 1 species